UACGAAGGGGGCUAGCGUUACUCGGAUUGACUGGGCGUAAAGGGCGCGUAGGCGGCUUGUCCAGUCAGACGUGAAAUUCCUGGGCUCAACCUGGGGGCUGCGUUUGAUACGUGCGGGCUUGAGUUCGGAAGAGGGUCGUGGAAUUCCCAGUGUAGAGGUGAAAUUCGUAGAUAUUGGGAAGAACACCGGUGGCGAAGGCGGCGACCUGGGCCGAUACUGACGCUGAGGCGCGAAAGCGUGGGGAGCAAACAGG
rnacentral:rRNA from 1 species